GGGUGGAGUAGAGGUGCGAACAAAAAGAGUACUUUCAGUAAGAGUGGUAUCAAUGAUCUGAAAGGAAAGGGUUGUUUGCCGAAGUGUGAUAGGUUACCGAGCCUUUUACACUGGUCUUACAUCGAACAGGUCUAAGACUGUCAUCAAAUUAUUUUGGUGGAGCGCUAUCUCAAAU
rnacentral:ncRNA from 2 species